AACAUUAAUGACAAAAGGACAGCCAGGAAAUGCUGUUGUGACAUCACACUUGAUUGAUAUUAUGCUGGUAUAUAUAUAACACAUAGGUGAACACAAAGAUCUGCUUCUUUGCAAAUAGAACUGGACAUCAUCUGCACUCAGCAUGGGUCAAGCAUUUAUUUGGACAGGUUUAGCUGUCUUGCUGUUCCUUCACUGCAGUUCUGCUUUCAAACUGGUUUGCUAUUUCACCAACUGGGCUCAGUAUAGGCAAGAUAAAGGGAAAUUCUUGCCUGAAGACAUUGAUCCCAAACUGUGCACUCAUCUCAUUUACGCAUUUGCGGGAAUGAAAGACAACAAGAUCACAACAGCAGAGUGGAAUGAUGAACAGCUCUACAAGGAUUUCAAUAACCUCAAAAAAAUGAAUCCAGGACUGAAUACACUUUUAGCUAUUGGUGGAUGGACUUUCGGUAGUACAAAAUUCUCUGCAAUGGUAGCUACUGCUCCCAACCGCCAGACAUUUAUUUCUUCUGUGGUUUCAUUCCUCCGAAAACAUGACUUCGAUGGCUUAGACCUAGACUGGGAAUAUCCCGGUGCCAGAGGCAGCCCUCCAGAGGAUAAACAACGUUUUACCUUCUUAGUUCAGGAAAUGAUAAAAGAAUUUAAAGCAGAAGCCCAGAGGACAGGAAAGAAAAGACUCCUGCUUAGUGCUGCUGUUGCAGCUGCAAAACAAACUAUUGAUAAUGCCUACGAAGUGGACAAGAUCUCAGAAUCUCUGGACUUUAUCAACCUCAUGGCUUAUGAUUUUCAUGGAGCCUCAGAAGGAGUCACAGGACACGUCAGCCCCCUCUUCCCUGACACUGACAAUGCUGUGAAGUACUGGAAGAGCAAGGGAGCACCAUCUAAAAAGAUCAUUCUGGGAAUUCCUGCCUAUGGACGAUCCUUCACCCUUUCUACCUCACAGAAUGGAGUGAAGGCACCAACCUCAGGGCCUGGGACAGCUGGUAUUUACACAAAAGAGAGGGGAUUUUUGGCUUAUUAUGAGAUCUGUGACUUUAAAAAUGGUGCUACCACAGUAGAGAUUGAAGAUCAGAAGGUUCCAUAUUCCUUCAAAGGAAACCAGUGGGUAGGAUACGAUGAUGUCAAGAGCAUUACCACUAAGGUCCAGUAUUUGAAGAAAGAAAACCUGGGUGGUGGUAUGGUGUGGGCCUUAGAUCUAGAUGACUUCAGUGGUUCCUUUUGCAAAGACGGAAGAUACCCACUUCUUCACACCCUGAAGAAACAGAUGGGCUCCACCAGUUAAUUAGUAGCAUUCCUGAAGAUGAAAUGUCACGCCUGGGUCCAACGCAACCUGCUUCACCAGCAGCAAACUGCUUUUGACUUUGACAAGGCUAAAGGGAUCUACAAUACACUGAAUUAGAAGGUACUGAAAAGUACUAUUUCUGGUCCAACAACUAACGUUUGACAAUUGGUGCAGAUGUUGCAACUAUUUUCCUUGAAGCACUGGCCCCCACCAGUCCGGAAGAUAGGCAUAUUACGUAACUAGCGGUGUAUUAUCUCUAAAUUAAAUUAUCCAUUCUUUCCAAUGUAUUCAUCAACACAUCUCUCUAACCUUUAAUAAAUGCAUAUUAUCCUUUGAUUCUUUAUUCCAAUGUGUAUACAACAAGAUAAUAGUACUUCAUAGUAAUUUUCAGAGAACAGUAUUUGUUGUCACUUACUCUACCCUCUGUCUUUAUUUUGUAAUAUUCUGUUGCUAAAAUGGAUCAGAAAUAAACUAAUUUCAGUCUUGGCAGUUAUAUGUUUCUUUGUAUCCUUACAGACAGCAAAUUACACUAAACAAUAAUGGCCUCUGUAAUUCAGUCCAUCCACCUUGCUGCUCUUCUCCUCAUCCUCUUUUUCUCUUUCCUUCCACAUUUCCCAGCAUUAUAGACUUCUCUAGAGAGCUAGGUCUUUGCAUAAUGUGUCCAAAGUAGGAUAAUUUGAUAAACAGAUACACAAGAUCCAAUUUGUGCUGGAGAUAAAUCUGAUAGAAAAUUAACUAUGGGGUACGUAUUCUUUUACAAG